GAGCGGCCGCGGCGCCGGCUCCUUGGCUGGAGCGGAGCUGCCGGGCUCUGCCGCGCCGGUUCUGGCGCUGCGGAGCCCGGCGGCAGCGGUGCUCCCGCUCCUGUGCUGAGUGCAGCGGGUGCUCCGUCCUGUGUCCGCUUCUGGGCACCGUGCUACAGCAAGGACAUCGAGGGUUGGAGGCACUGGAACUGGCUGCCCACAGAAGUCGUGGAACCACCGUCCGUGGAGACUCACCAUGUCUGGAAUCUAAACUGAAGAGUGGUGACAUCAAACACUAAAGGAAUUUGGUCUGCUUUUCAGGAACAUUGAACUCCUUGCAGUGCAGGGUCUCUGGAGACCUUAAAAGGCAAAAAUUCUGCUUUGGGGCUUUUGACCACUUGUUCUGAGGUCUGGCCUAUUGUAAUUGUAUUUGGUUUUUACCUGAUGCUUCUUUCCAAAUGGUUAGUUCAAGAACAAAUAAAUUUUAGCUGUAAAGCA